UACGGGAGGUGCAAGCGUUAUCCGGUUUUAUUGGGUUUAAAGGGUGCGUAGGCGGCUUAUUAAGUCAGUUGUGAAAUCCUAGUGCUUAACGCUAGAACUGCGAUUGAUACUAUUAGGCUUGAGUUAAGAAGAGGUAAGCAGAAUUUAUGGUGUAGUAGUGAAAUGCUUAGAUAUCAUAAGGAAUACCAAUAGCGUAGGCAGCUUACUGGUCUUUAACUGACGCUGAGGCACUAAAGCGUGGGGAGCAAACAGGAUUGGAUACCCUGGUAGUCCACGCCGUAAACGAUGAUCACUCGAUAUACAUGAUACAUUAUGUGUGUCCAAGCGAA
rnacentral:rRNA from 1 species